GAUGAACGCUGGCGGCGUGCCUAAUACAUGCAAGUCGAACGCGCAGCGAAAGGUGCUUGCACCUUUCAAGCGAGUGGCGAACGGGUGAGUAACACGUGGAUAACCUGCCUCAAGGCUGGGGAUAACAUUUGGAAACAGAUGCUAAUACCGAAUAAAACUUAGUAUCGCAUGAUACAAAGUUAAAAGGCGCUACGGCGUCACCUAGAGAUGGAUCCGCGGUGCAUUAGUUAGUUGGUGGGGUAAAGGCUUACCAAGACGAUGAUGCAUAGCCGAGUUGAGAGACUGAUCGGCCACAUUGGGACUGAGACACGGCCCAAACUCCUACGGGAGGCUGCAGUAGGGAAUCUUCCACAAUGGGCGCAAGCCUGAUGGAGCAACGCCGCGUGUGUGAUGAAGGCUUUCGGGUCGUAAAGCACUGUUGUAUGGGAAGAAAUGCUAAAAUAGGGAAUGAUUUUAGUUUGACGGUACCAUACCAGAAAGGGACGGCUAAAUACGUGCCAGCAGCCGCCGUAAUAC
rnacentral:rRNA from 1 species